AGAAUAAUGAAAUGCAUCAAACUAGAUUGCGUCUGCUAUUGAAACCACGAGAAAGGAAACAGAACGAAGUGAACAUCACGACUUCAGAUUACUUUACGUUACUUGGAUUCUUUAAACAAAGUUGUUGCUCGUAAAGACCAUUCGUGAGAAGCGUAUCUCUUCAGUGUUGCAGCUUAUUACCGUCCUUUAUUUAAAAUAAAGUUCUGUUCGUUCUGGAGUAACCAAUUGCUAUCAACAGUGUUUCACUAAGUCAGACCAAUAUUGGUGGGCACGUUCACCAUUUGGUAAUAUAACACACACACAUUAUUUAAACAUAAAUAUAGUUAAUACUAGUCGUGCUUCCUCUGGAUAGAUAGACAAUACUGUUAUAAGUUAAUCACUCUUUCCUAUACUAUCAUUGCCAGCUGCAAUGAAUAAGCGAAAGGUUAAAGUGUUUGUAGGCACAAGACAGAGAGCCCGGAGAUUAAGAAAAACUAUUGAUGAGCAAUUAAAUGAGAAUGAUGAUGAGAGUGUACAUAGUGCUAAUGAAGAACUGGUCAAUUUUCAAAUUGAAACUUUAGACAAUUCCAAUGAAAUCAUCCAUGUUAGUGGCAGUGAUCUUGCGAGCCAAGAUAUUGUUACACUUGGGGGUGAUGUGUAACACGAGUGUAUUAGGACGUCCACACGGUAAGACGUCAAGUAA